rnacentral:rRNA from 1 species
GACGUAGGGCGCGAGCGUUGUCCGGAUUCAUUGGGCGUAAAGGGUGCGUAGGUGGCGCGGUAAGUCGGGUGUGAAAUCUCGGAGCUUAACUCCGAAAUUGCAUUCGAUACUGCCGUGCUCGAGGACUGGAGAGGAGACUGGAAUUCAUGGUGUAGCAGUGAAAUGCGUAGAGAUCAUGAGGAAGACCAGUGGCGAAGGCGGGUCUCUGGACAGUUCCUGACACUGAGGCACGAAGGCCAGGGGAGCAAACGGG